rnacentral:rRNA from 1 species
GAGUUUGAACCUGGCUCAGGAUGAACGCUGGCGGCGUGCCUAAUACAUGCAAGUCGAGCGAACCACUUCGGUGGUGAGCGGCGAACGGGUGAGUAACACGUAGGUGAUCUGCCCAUCAGACGGGGACAACGAUUGGAAACGAUCGCUAAUACCGGAUAGGACGAAAGUUUAAAGGUGCUUCUGGCACCGCUGAUGGAUGAGCCUGCGGCGCAUUAGCUAGUUGGUAGGGUAAAGGCCUACCAAGGCGACGAUGCGUAGCCGACCUGAGAGGGUGAACGGCCACACUGGGACUGAGACACGGCCCAGACUCCUACGGGAGGCAGCAGUAGGGAAUCUUCGGCAAUGGGCGAAAGCCUGACCGAGCAACGCCGCGUGAAUGAUGAAGGCCUUCGGGUUGUAAAAUUCUGUUAUAAGGGAAGAACGACUUUAGUAGGAAAUGGCUAGAGUGUGACGGUACCUUAUGAGAAAGCCACGGCUAACUACGUGCCAGCAGCCGCGGUAAUACGUAGGUGGCGAGCGUUAUCCGGAAUUAUUGGGCGUAAAGAGCGCGCAGGUGGUUGAUUAAGUCUGAUGUGAAAGCCCACGGCUUAAUCGUGGAGGGUCAUUGGAAACUGGUCGACUUGAGUGCAGAAGA